GAUGAACGCUGGCGGCGUGCUUAACACAUGCAAGUCGAACGGUGAAGCAGAGCUUGCUCUGUGGAUCAGUGGCGAACGGGUGAGUAACACGUGAGCAACCUGCCCCUGACUCUGGGAUAAGCGCUGGAAACGGCGUCUAAUACUGGAUAUGAGCUGCGACCGCAUGGUCAGCAGUUGGAAAGAUUUUUCGGUCUGGGAUGGGCUCACGGCCUAUCAGCUUGUUGGUGAGGUAAUGGCUCACCAAGGCGUCGACGGGUAGCCGGCCUGAGAGGGUGACCGGCCACACUGGGACUGAGACACGGCCCAGACUCCUACGGGAGGCAGCAGUGGGGAAUAUUGCACAAUGGGCGAAAGCCUGAUGCAGCAACGCCGCGUGAGGGAUGACGGCCUUCGGGUUGUAAACCUCUUUUAGCAGGGAAGAAGCGAAAGUGACGGUACCUGCAGAAAAAGCGCCGGCUAACUACGUA
rnacentral:rRNA from 1 species